UCUUGGCAUCUUCGCACACGCAGGCCACGUGCCGGCACCCCCCGGUGGCCGCUCGCCGCCUCGCCUUUAUAAGCGGCCGGGCGGGCGGAGCUCAGCUCAUCGCACUCAAGCUCACCCUGCAACUUGCUCGCUCUCGUCUCGGCUCUGAUAUUUUCUGCCCUGCCCUCUCGCUGCCCGGCGUCAGCCUUCCUUGGUCGGGAGACGAAGGAGAGAGAUAAAGGAGAAGAUGUCGGACGGCACGGCGACCUGCAUCGACAUCAUCCUCGCCAUCAUCCUGCCGCCGCUCGGGGUCUUCUUCAAGUUCGGCUGCGGGGUCAGUAAAAUCUACUAGCUCUGGUUCAGAGCUCUUGCUGACUCAUUUGCACCCCAGCGUGCUCAAAUACUUGCAUGAUACUGUGCGCUGGUUUAUGACUACUGUGUUCGUGGGGGCUAUAGCUGAUAGAUGGCUCUUGCUCUGCUUGCAGGUUGAGUUCUGGAUCUGCCUCGUCCUCACCUUCUUCGGCUACCUCCCCGGCAUCAUCUACGCCGUCUGGGCCAUCACCAAGUAGAGGGGCCUCUUCGAGGUACUAUUCUACAUGCACCUUCUUCAACAACCUGUUACUGUGAAACUGCUCGUGUAGAGAAAAACAAAACACGCACCUCGCUUCUUGAUGCUUCCAGUGAAUUGUUGCUUUAAUUUCCUUUUGAUUAUGGGCAUGCAGGUGAUGAUGGGGCCGGGCCUCGUGCGUGUGGUGUCCUCGUCGUGCCUGGUGUGAUCUGCAGUCGUUUGAGAUGUAAUUUCUUCUAGUUUCUCUUCCCUUUGGCUGGAUGGUGCGCACCGUGUUCGUCCCUCUCCGCGGGAUACGGGCUGCACCUCCUCCGAUCCAUUGUAUCGCCCAGUUCCUCUGCACAUUUCCGUCCCUGUACUUCGAUUGAUUAAUUAAUUCGUCCGUUCUUUAGUGGAAAUUAAUUCUCUGCUUGUUUGGCUGCUUGAUUGAUUACUUAAUACUGUUUUUCCUUUCUUUUUCAAUAUCUUUUUUGUCUGUUUGCUUGGCACUCUGGGAUUGGGAAUAAAUGAAUAAUCACCCAUGGUUUGGUGAG
rnacentral:lncRNA from 1 species